rnacentral:tRNA from 2 species
UGCCCGGUCGUCUAGUGGCAGGACAGCUGACUCUGGAUCAGUCAACGGUGGUUCGAAUCCAUCCCGGGCAGCCA